CUACGGGGUGCUGCAGUGAGGAAUUUCGCGCAAUGGGGGAAACCCUGACGCAGCAACGCCGCGUGAGUGAAGAAGGCUUUCGGGUCGUAAAGCUCUGUCAGAUAGGAAAAAAGUUCAUAUGUAAAUAGCUUAUGAAUCUGAUGGUACUAUCAGAGGAAGCACCGGCUAACUCCGUGCCAGGCAGCCGCGGUAAUACGGAGGGUGCAAGCGUUGUUCGGAAUUACUGGGCGUAAAGGGCGUGUAGGCGGUAUGGUAAGUCAGAUGUGAAAGCCCUGGGCUUAACUCAGGAAGUGCAUUUGAUACUGUCAUCCUUGAGUAUGGGAGAGGAGAGUAGAAUUCCCAGUGUAGAGGUGAAAUUCGUAGAUAUUGGGAGGAAUACCCGUGGCGAAGGCGACUCUCUGGACCAAUACUGACGCUGAGACGCGAAAGCGUGGGGAGCAAACAGGAUUAGAUACCCCGGUAGUC
rnacentral:rRNA from 1 species